rnacentral:rRNA from 1 species
GAUGAACGCUGGCGGCGUGCUUAACACAUGCAAGUCGAACGAUGAAGCCCAGCUUGCUGGGUGGAUUAGUGGCGAACGGGUGAGUAACACGUGAGUAACCUGCCCUUAACUCUGGGAUAAGCCUGGGAAACUGGGUCUAAUACCGGAUAGGAGCGUCCACCGCAUGGUGGGUGUUGGAAAGAUUUAUCGGUUUUGGAUGGACUCGCGGCCUAUCAGCUUGUUGGUGAGGUAAUGGCUCACCAAGGCGACGACGGGUAGCCGGCCUGAGAGGGUGACCGGCCACACUGGGACUGAGACACGGCCCAGACUCCUACGGGAGGCAGCAGUGGGGAAUAUUGCACAAUGGGCGAAAGCCUGAUGCAGCGACGCCGCGUGAGGGAUGACGGCCUUCGGGUUGUAAACCUCUUUCAGUAGGGAAGAAGCGAAAGUGACGGUACCUGCAGAAGAAGCACCGGCUAACUACGUGCCAGCCGCCGCCGUAA